GGCAUGGUGGCGUAGUGGUUAGCAUGUUUUCCUCACACCUUCAGGGUUGAGGGUUUGAUUCCCGUUGCUGCCC